rnacentral:lncRNA from 1 species
CUUUGCGCUUUCUCCCCGCCUCCGGGAUCUCAGUUGCCUCUCCGUGCCUUGCCUUGUCGGAGCUUGUUUUGGGCAACGCGGAGCUGCGACUUCAUGGUCCCAAACCUUUGUGCCUAAUACACGGCCGGAAAAUGUGGCGGCGAGUCUUUGGAGGAGGCCUCUUCUCUGCAAUUCUUAGAGCAGUGUCUCCAAUGUUAGCCAUUUGAAGAUGUGUGGACUUCAACUCCCAGAAUCCCUCAGCCAGCAUUGCAACCCUGCCUGGAAAGAAGAUUGGUCACUCCUAAUUUUGCUAGUUUGAUGCCCCCUGAGGAUGGCCUUAUUAGGAAGCAGCCCAAAGCAGCCCACCUCACUGUGGGGAGGUAGCCCUUUUAUUAAUAUGGAUUUGCAUGUCCCCUUUGAAUGCUAAAGGCUCUUCUCAGGGCGCUUUUGAAUUGUUUU